GGCUGGCUACAGACUACAACCAUCUGGUCCAGAUCUACCUAAUGUAUGGCUGGCUACAGACUACAACCAUCUGGUCCAGAUCAACCUACUGUAGGGCUGGCUACAGACUACAACCAUCUGCAGGGUUUGUUUCUUGUGUGAAAUCAAAAGCC